GACGAACGCUGGCGGCGUGCUUAACACAUGCAAGUCGAACGAUGAAGGAGAGCUUGCUCUCCGGAUUAGUGGCGAACGGGUGAGUAACACGUGACUAACCUGCCCCUUUCUCUGGGAUAACGCUCCGAAAGGAGUGCUAAUACCGGAUACGAACUCUGAACAUAUGUUCGGAGUUGGAAAGUUUUUCGGAAAGGGAUGGAGUCGCGGCCUAUCAGCUUGUUGGUGAGGUAACGGCUCACCAAGGCGACGACGGGUAGCCGGCCUGAGAGGGCGACCGGCCACACUGGGACUGAGACACGGCCCAGACUCCUACGGGAGGCAGCAGUGGGGAAUAUUGCACAAUGGGCGAAAGCCUGAUGCAGCGACGCCGCGUGAGGGAUGAAGGUCUUCGGAUUGUAAACCUCUUUCAGUAGGGACGAAGCGAAAGUGACGGUACCUAAAGAAGAAGCACCGGCUAACUACGUGCCAGCAGCCGCAGUAA
rnacentral:rRNA from 1 species